rnacentral:lncRNA from 1 species
AUGUGUGGGGGUGGGAGCGUGGGAGGGGGGCUGCCUCCUCUCUCUCCUCCCGCUCCCCCUCCUUUCUUCUCUCUCUCUCUCCCCCUCCCUCCUCGCUUACCUCGCCUCUCUCCCUCUAUCUCUCCCUCAUUUCCUUUCUUUCUCUUCUCCCUCUCUCCUCCAGUCCCCCCCCACCCUCUUUCUUACUCUCCCCUCCCUCUCUCCUCUCCUUCUCUCGCCCUCCCUCUCUCUUCUCCCUCUCCCUUCAAGUCUGGCACUGAACUCGAACUGUUUUGCUUUGCUCCGGGAAGAGUGCAGACACAGAACGUGAAAUUCCGAGCUUUUUUUUUUUUUUUUUUUUUUUUGCGUGGUGCAUUUAAAACGCUUCCUUAUUUAUAUUACCCUCAUUCCCUCACCUCUCCCACCCCCUCACCAGCCUUUCCAAAUUUCCCUAGAAAUCUCUAUAAAGCGUGCGGAGGGGAAAACAUUUGCACAAAAAGUGAAGGAGCUCGCCAAGGAGUUCCCGUUUGGGUAGUCAAACCUGCCCUGACACCUGGACGUCUGCAUGAGGGGUGGUCACUGAAGGAGGAGUUGUCAGAGGCCAUAGGAGCUAAAGAGUCUGUGCAGAUGAGCUCUGGAGUCCCAGGAGUCUCCUGCUGA